UAUAAAAACGGACCGGGUAAGGCGUUCGCCCUACCCGGUCCGUUUUCUCC
rnacentral:sRNA from 1 species